AUCCUGAUUGCUAAAGUAGCGUAGAUGGAAUACCAAAAAACUCAUAGGGACUUCGUCCUCCCUUACAAAACUUGGGGAAGCCAUAAUAAGCUUGUGUAGGGUUCUUGAAGUCUAAUAUGACAAGAUUGGUGUGUAUGACUGAGUAUAAGAAAGAGAAAUGCAACCCGGAUCCUGAUUGCUAAAGUAGCGUAGAUGGAAUACAAGAACACUCAUAGAGACUUCGUCCUCCCUUACAAAACUUGGGGAAGCCAUAAUAAGCUUGUGUAGGGUUUUUGGAGUCCAAUAUGACAAGAUUGGUGUGUAUGACUGAGUAUAAGAAAGAGAAACGCAACCAGGAUCCUGAUUGCUAAAGUAGCGUAGAUGGAAUACAAAAACACGCAUAGGGACUUCGUCCUCCCAUACAAAACUUGGGGAAGCCAUAAAAAGCUUCUAUAGUGUUCUUGGAGUCCAAUAUGAUAAGAUUGGUGCGUAUGACUGAGUAUAAGAAAGAGAAAUGCAACCCGGAU
rnacentral:lncRNA from 1 species